rnacentral:rRNA from 1 species
CCUUGUCAAUCUAUCAAUGACCUCGAAUCAGAUGAGACUACCCGCUGAACUUAAGCAUAUCAAUAAGCGGAGGAAAGAACUAACAAGGAUUCCCUCAGUAACGGCGAGUGAAGAGGGAAGAGCUCAGUUUUGAAAUCUGGCAGUGAUUCACUGUCCGAGUUGUAAAUUGAAGAGAAUGCCAUCCACGCUGGACCACGUCUAAAUUGUAAUGAUCCACAGUCCUUUGAUGGAGUAUCAGAGAGGGUAAUAAUCCCGUCUUUAACGUGGACUGCCAGUGUUUCUGUGAUGCACUCUCUCAGAGUCGAGUAGUUUGGGAAUGCUGCUCUAAUGGGAGGUAAACUCCUUCUAAAGCUAAAUAUUGGCGAGAGACCGAUAGUGAACAAGUACCGUGAGGGAAAGAUGAAAAGAACUCUGGAAAGAGAGUCAAACAGAACGUGAAAUUGCUGAAAGGGAAGCGUUUGGAGUCAGAUGCGUCUUCAUGCAGUACAACUUGGCGGUAGAGGCUGAGAGGGGUGACUUGAAGACGGGCCAGCAUUCACGAAGACCAUUGAAGAAGGGGCCAUGGAAUGUAGCUCAGUUCUCUGAGUGAUUAUAGCCUUGGUUCAGAAGCAAUGUGUCCUUGUGAGAUUGAGACAGCACCUUGAGUGCUUGAGCUGGCAUAAUGGCUCUAAGCGACCCGUCUGG